rnacentral:rRNA from 1 species
CACGGGGGGAGCAAGCGUUGUUCGGAAUCACUGGGCGUAAAGGGUGUCUAGGCGGUCAGGUAAGUGAGAUGUGAAAUGCCCCGGCUUACCCGGGGACCUGCAUCUCAUACUGCCUGGCUUGAGUAUGGGAGAGGAUGAGGGAAUUCCUGGUGUAGCGGUGAAAUGCGCAGAUAUCAGGAGGAACACCGGUGGCGAAGGCGGGUUGCUGGGCUGACACUGACGCUGAUGCGCGAAAGCCAGGGGAGCGAACGGG